UCGAACGAUGAACCGCUUUCGGGCGGGGAUUAGUGGCGAACGGGUGAGUAACACGUGGGCAAUCUGCCCUGCACUCUGGGACAAGCCCUGGAAACGGGGUCUAAUACCGGAUAUGACUGUCCAUCGCAUGGUGGAUGGUGUAAAGCUCCGGCGGUGCAGGAUGAGCCCGCGGCCUAUCAGCUUGUUGGUGAGGUAGUGGCUCACCAAGGCGACGACGGGUAGCCGGCCUGAGAGGGCGACCGGCCACACUGGGACUGAGACACGGCCCAGACUCCUACGGGAGGCAGCAGUGGGGAAUAUUGCACAAUGGGCGAAAGCCUGAUGCAGCGACGCCGCGUGAGGGAUGACGGCCUUCGGGUUGUAAACCUCUUUCAGCAGGGAAGAAGCGAAAGUGACGGUACCUGCAGAAGAAGCGCCGGCUAACUACGUGCCAGCAGCCGCGGUAAUACGUAGGGCGCAAGCGUUGUCCGGAAUUAUUGGGCGUAAAGAGCUCGUAGGCGGCUUGUCACGUCGGUUGUGAAAGCCCGGGGCUUAACCCCGGGUCUGCAGUCGAUACGGGCAGGCUAGAGUUCGGUAGGGGAGAUCGGAAUUCCUGGUGUAGCGGUGAAAUGCGCAGAUAUCAGGAGGAACACCGGUGGCGAAGGCGGAUCUCUGGGCCGAUACUGACGCUGAGGAGCGAAAGCGUGGGGAGCGAACAGGAUUAGAUACCCUGGUAGUCCACGCCGUAAACGGUGGGCACUAGUGUGGGCAACAUUCCACGUUGUCCGUGCCGCAGCUAACGCAUU
rnacentral:rRNA from 1 species